GACGAACGCUGGCGGCGUGCUUAACACAUGCAAGUCGAACGGAAAGGCCCCGCUUUUGUGGGGUGCUCGAGUGGCGAACGGGUGAGUAACACGUGAGUAACCUGCCCUUGACUUUGGGAUAACUUCAGGAAACUGGGGCUAAUACCGGAUAGGAGCUCCUGCUGCAUGGUGGGGGUUGGAAAGUUUCGGCGGGUGGGGAUGGACUCGCGGCUUAUCAGCUUGUUGGUGGGGUAGUGGCUUACCAAGGCUUUGACGGGUAGCCGGCCUGAGAGGGUGACCGGCCACAUUGGGACUGAGAUACGGCCCAGACUCCUACGGGAGGCAGCAGUGGGGAGUAUUGCACAAUGGGCGGAAGCCUGAUGCAGCAACGCCGCGUGCGGGAUGACGGCCUUCGGGUUGUAAACCGCUUUCGCCUGUGACGAAGCGUGAGUGACGGUAAUGGGUAAAGAAGCACCGGCUAACUACGUG
rnacentral:rRNA from 1 species